rnacentral:rRNA from 1 species
UACAGAGGGUGCAAGCGUUGUUCGGAAUUAUUGGGCGUAAAGCGCGUGUAGGCGGCUUUGCAAGUCGGGUGUGAAAGCCCUCAGCUCAACUGAGGAAGUGCGCCCGAAACUGCAGAGCUUGAGUGCCGGAGAGGGUGGCGGAAUUCCCCAAGUAGAGGUGAAAUUCGUAGAUAUGGGGAGGAACACCGGUGGCGAAGGCGGCGACCUGGGUAGAUACUGACGCUGAGGUGCGAAAGCGUGGGGAGCAAACAGG